CCUACGUGAGACAGCAGUGGGGAAUAUUGCACAAUGGUGGAAACCCUGAUGCAGCGACGCUGCGUGAAGGAAGAAGUAUUUCGGUAUGUAAACUUCUAUCAUCAGGGAAGAAAAUGACGGUACCUGACUAAGAAGCCCCGGCUAACUACGUGCCAGCAGCCGCGGUAAUACGUAGGGGGCAAGCGUUAUCCGGAUUUACUGGGUGUAAAGGGAGCGUAGGCGGUUUAGCAAGUCAGAAGUGAAUGCCCGGGGCUCAACUCCGGGACUGCUUUUGAAACUGUUGAACUACAGUGCAGGAGGGUUAAGUGGGAUUCCUAGUGUAGCGGUGAAAUGCGGAGAUAGUAGGAGGAACACCAGUGGCGAAGGCGGAGGACUGGACUGUAAAUGACGCUGAGGCGCGAAAGCGGGGGGAGCAAACAGGAUUAGAGACCCGAGUAGUC
rnacentral:rRNA from 1 species